UAAUAGGCUAUCAUUCUAUGUGCAUUUCCCAGACACGCCUACUACGCUGGAAAGAAUUAUAAGGCCUGAAUAUCAGGAACCACUGUUAAAUCCCUGGACAAACUGCACCUCCUCAUACAAAUGGAGCAGUUCUUGGAUGGUGUUCCUGAG